AGUGAACGCUGGCGGUAGGCCUAACACAUGCAAGUCGAACGGCAGCACAGUAAGAGCUUGCUCUUACGGGUGGCGAGUGGCGGACGGGUGAGGAAUACAUCGGAAUCUACUUUUUCGUGGGGGAUAACGUAGGGAAACUUACGCUAAUACCGCAUACGACCUACGGGUGAAAGCAGGGGAUCUUCGGACCUUGCGCGAUUGAAUGAGCCGAUGUCGGAUUAGCUAGUUGGCGGGGUAAAGGCCCACCAAGGCGACGAUCCGUAGCUGGUCUGAGAGGAUGAUCAGCCACAAUGGAACUGAGACACGGUCCAGACUCCUACGGGAGGCAGCAGUGGGGAAUAUUGGACAAUGGGCGCAAGCCUGAUCCAGCCAUACCGCGUGGGUGAAGAAGGCCUUCGGGUUGUAAAGCCCUUUUGUUGGGAAAGAAAAGCAGCAGGUUAAUACCCCGCUGUUCUGACGGUACCCAAAGAAUAAGCACCGGCUAACGUCG
rnacentral:rRNA from 1 species